rnacentral:rRNA from 1 species
GUUAAAACUCAAAUGAAUUGACGGGGGCCCGCACAAGCGGUGGAGCAUGUGGUUUAAUUCGAUGCAACGCGAAGAACCUUACCUGGUCUUGACAUCCACAGAAGAAUCCAGAGAUGGAUUUGUGCCUUCGGGAACUGUGAGACAGGUGCUGCAUGGCUGUCGUCAGCUCGUGUUGUGAAAUGUUGGGUUAAGUCCCGCAACGAGCGCAACCCUUAUCCUUUGUUGCCAGCGGUUAGGCCGGGAACUCAAAGGAGACUGCCAGUGAUAAACUGGAGGAAGGUGGGGAUGACGUCAAGUCAUCAUGGCCCUUACGACCAGGGCUACACACGUGCUACAAUGGCGCAUACAAAGAGAAGCGACCUCGCGAGAGCAAGCGGACCUCAUAAAGUGCGUCGUAGUCCGGAUUGGAGUCUGCAACUCGACUCCAUGAAGUCGGAAUCGCUAGUAAUCGUGGAUCAGAAUGCCACGGUGAAUACGUUCCCGGGCCUUGUACACACCGCCCGUCACACCAUGGGAGUGGGUUGCAAAAGAAGUAGGUAGCUUAACCUUCGGGAGGGCGCUUACCACUUUGUGAUUCAUGACUGGGGUGAAGUCGUAACAAGGUAACCGUAGGGGAACCUGCGGUUGGAUCACCUCCUUACCUUAAAGAA